rnacentral:rRNA from 1 species
GUAGGGAAUAUUGGGCAAUGGUCGGAAGACUGACCCAGCCAUGCCGCGUGCAGGAAGACGGCCCUCUGGGUUGUAAACUGCUUUUAUCUGGGAAGAAAAAGGCCAUGCGUGGCAAAUUGCCGGUACCAGAUGAAUAAGCACCGGCUAACUCCGUGCCAGCAGCCGCGGUAAUACGGAGGGUGCGAGCGUUGUCCGGAUUUAUUGGGUUUAAAGGGUGCGUAGGCGGCUGAUUAAGUCAGCGGUGAAAGACUUCGGCUUAACCGGGGCAGUGCCGUUGAUACUGGUUGGCUUGAGUGUCGGAGGGGUACAUGGAAUUGAUGGUGUAGCAGUGAAAUGCAUAGAUACCAUCAGGAACACCGAUAGCGAAGGCAUUGUACUGGCCGACAACUGACGCUGAUGCACGAAAGUGUGGGGAUCGAACAGGAUUAGAAACCCCUGUAGUCC